GCAUUGGUAUCUCAAUGGAUCAGAGCUCAUGGUUACGAACCAUGAAUUCAAGGGUUCAAAUCCCUUCUAGCCCA
rnacentral:tRNA from 1 species